rnacentral:lncRNA from 10 species
AAAAUACAAAAAAUUAGCUGGGCGUGGUGGCGUGUGCCUGUAAUCCCAGCUACUUGGGAGGCUGAGGCAGGAGAAUCGCUGGAACUUGGGAGGUAGUGGUUGCAGUGAGCUGAGAUUGUGCCACUGCACUCUAGCUGGGCAACAGAGUACAACUCUGUCUCAAAAAAAAAAAAAAAAAAAAAGGGCUGGGCAUGGUGGCUCACGCCUGUAAUCCCAGCACUUUGGGAGGCUGAGGCGGGUGGAUCACCUGAGGUCAGGAGUUGCAGACGAGCCUGGCCAACGUGGCGAAACCUCGUCUCUACUAAAAAUACAAAAAUUAGCCGGGCGUGGUGGCACUUGUCUGUAGUCCCAG